rnacentral:rRNA from 1 species
GUCGUAACAAGGUUUCCGUAGGUGAACCUGCGGAAGGAUCAUUGUCGAAACCUGCCAAGCAGAACGACCCGCGAACUCGUUUUAUACAAGCGGGGCUCCGCGUCGGCUCUCGUCGCGUGGAUCCCCAUACGGCCGUUCGAGAGGGAGCGCGAGCUUCCUAACGCACGGCCUAACAACGAACCCCCGGCGCGGACCGCGCCAAGGAAAUCUAAACGGAAGAGCAUGCUUCUGUCGUCCCGGGAACGGUGCGCGUGCAGGAAGCCAUGCCUUCUUCUAUUAUCCAUAACGACUCUCGGCAACGGAUAUCUCGGCUCUCGCAUCGAUGAAGAACGUAGCGAAAUGCGAUACUUGGUGUGAAUUGCAGAAUCCCGUGAACCAUCGAGUCUUUGAACGCAAGUUGCGCCCCAAGCCUUUAGGCCGAGGGCACGUCUGCCUGGGUGUCACGCAUCGUUGCCCCCCAAAGCUCGAUCCCCAUAGCGGGAGCGGGCAUUGGCGGGGGCGGAAAUUGGCCUCCCGCGAAUAUCCUCUCGUGGUUGGCUGAAAUACAGGGCUUGUGGCAGUAAUUGCUGCAAUGUUUGUAGGGAAAAUUUUGUUACCGAUAUUCCCACAUUGCACAUCUGUUAACAUAGAUAUAUAUAUCACCAACUGCGACCCCAGGUCAGGCGGGACUACCCGCUGAGUUUAAGCAUAUC